rnacentral:lncRNA from 1 species
UUUUUUGAGACAGGAUCCUCUCGUUGUUUGAUGCAGUCUAACUGGCCUGGGAGCUUCUGGGAAUUCUGUCUUCACCUUCUCUCCCUCACUGACUGAUGGUCUAGUGUCAGGAGAGAGAUAAGAUCACAACAGCAGCAGCAGCAGCAGCAACAACAACAACAACGACAACAGCAACAACCGAUACAAGGAGCCGGACAGCAGCAAGUACCUAGAACAAGAGAGCAUGCUGAGGGACCUGGAACAUUCUGCCACCUUGAAGGCCAGGCAAGGACCAUGCAGUUCUGAACUUAGAAAAGACAACCAGGGGCAGCGAAGGUGUCGUUCAAAGGCAGUGGAGGUGCAGGGUGACCAGAAGGCACCAAUCUAGACAGAAGGCUCAUUAAUUUCAAAAGCAGCCACAGAGGCAAGGGACUACUUCGCAAUUCUUCUUUUCAUGAAGAGGGAGACUUGCAGAUGGUGCUGGGCCUGUAACUUUUGAGGAGCGAGAGAAG